ACGAGCUUCAGGUUACACAAGUACGUCUCUCUAACCAUUAGGCCGCAACUACCCUAGUUUGCCCACAACGGUGUGAUUGUGUGUUUCAUGUCUCUUUCCUGUUUUUAUGACCCUUCCUGAAAGGAAGCAGAUUUCAGAGCUACUGUUCAACAAAACAGGUACAGAGGAGGAAAUCAAACAAGCUACAAAUAUUAGAGAAGAUGACAUCAGAGCAGCUUCUGGAAACACUGGAUGCUCUGGACAGAGAAAAACUGAAGAGGGUUAAUUGGCACUUAAAGCAAGAUGCUCAUGCUUCAGCUGUAGAUCUAGAGAAUGCAGACACCGUUGUCACAGUGGAUCUGAUGAUGGCAUGUUGUGGACCAGAAAGAGCCAUGAAGAUCACACUGAAUAUCUUGAGAAAGAUGAAACUGAACCAUCUGGCUGAAGAUUUAGAGAAUAAACUCAAAGUUCACAAUUCUCCAGUCCAGAUGAGGAGGAGUGCUCAGGCUGGUGUCAGUGUUGAUGUGAGUGCUGAAACAGGUGCAAGUGUAAAUGUUCCUGUAUUGACUGGAAACACCAUCACAGGACCAGUAACCAUUUAUGGCUCACAUGCUGCUGGAAAUGGUACAUUUUCAUCUCUAUGACAAGACACUAUUAAUACUUUCUGUAGAAACUAGUAAUUUUGCAACAUUAUUUUGGUUAUUUAGUACCAUUUUAAUGCUAUGAAAUAAUAUCUCA
ensembl:lncRNA